UUGUUAUUAAAUAGAUUUUUAAUAUAGUUAUUAUUGUCAUUAUAUAUAUAUAAAAGAAACAAAAGAAAGAAACAAAAAGAAGAAAAAGAAGAAAAGAAACAGAAUAGCAGGGGACGAAACAGAGAAGGGAGAAAGGAAGAAAAGAAAAAGGCAAAAAUAAAGUUUUAAAGGUUCCAACUAACAAGGAAAACGAGGCAUCGGCAUCUAAAGGAAAAGAAAAGAUCGUUGAGGAGUUAGCUCAAGAAAAUACAGUUUGUAUUUAUAUAAUCCGAACUCAGUCAUUAUUUGUUAUAUUUAUAUACAUGUGACAAUUGUUAGUGUUAGAAUUAUGAUGUUUUACAAUUGAAAUGGAUUGAUUUUGGUAUGUGAUGAAUUUAUCAAAUUUA